rnacentral:rRNA from 1 species
UACGGGGGGGGCAAGCGUUGUUCGGAAUUACUGGGCGUAAAGGGCUCGUAGGCGGCCAACUAAGUCAGACGUGAAAUCCCUCGGCUUAACCGGGGAACUGCGUCUGAUACUGGAUGGCUUGAGUUUGGGAGAGGGAUGCGGAAUUCCAGGUGUAGCGGUGAAAUGCGUAGAUAUCGGAAGGAACACCAGUGGCGAAAGCGGCUUCCUGGUCCGACACCGACGUUCAGGCACGAAAGCGUGGGGAGCAAACAGG